CUGAUUUCAACAAUGAAGCGAGUGGCGAACUGGUGAGUAACACGUGGGAAAUCUGCCCAGAAGCAGGGGAUAACACUUGGAAACAGGUGCUAAUACCGUAUAACAACAAAAUCCGCAUGGAUUUUGUUUGAAAGGUGGCUUCGGCUAUCACUUCUGGAUGAUCCCGCGGCGUAUUAGUUAGUUGGUGAGGUAAAGGCCCACCAAGACRAUGAUACGUAGCCGACCUGAGAGGGUAAUCGGCCACAUUGGGACUGAGACACGGCCCAAACUCCUACGGGAGGCAGCAGUAGGGAAUCUUCCACAAUGGACGAAAGUCUGAUGGAGCAAUGCCGCGUGAGUGAAGAAGGGUUUCGGCUCGUAAAACUCUGUUGUUAAAGAAGAACACCUUUGAGAGUAACUGUUCAAGGGUUGACGGUAUUUAACCAGAAAGCCACGGCUAACUACGUGCCAGCAGCCGCGGUAAUACGUAGGUGGCAAGCGUUGUCCGGAUUUAUUGGGCGUAAAGCGAGCGCAGGCGGUUUUUUAAGUCUGAUGUGAAAGCCUUCGGCUUAACCGGAGAAGUGCAUCGGAAACUGGGAGACUUGAGUGCAGAAGAGGACAGUGGAACUCCAUGUGUAGCGGUGGAAUGCGUAGAUAUAUGGAAGAACACCAGUGGCGAAGGCGGCUGUCUAGUCUGUAACUGACGCUGAGGCUCGAAAGCAUGGGUAGCGAACAGGAUUAGAUACCCUGGUAGUCCAUGCCGUAAACGAUGAGUGCUAAGUGUUGGAGGGUUUCCGCCCUUCAGUGCUGCAGCUAACGCAUUAAGCACUCCGCCUGGGGAGUACGACCGCAAGGUUGAAACUCAAAGGAAUUGACGGGGGCCCGCACAAGCGGUGGAGCAUGUGGUUUAAUUCGAAGCUACGCGAAGAACCUUACCAGGUCUUGACAUCUUCUGCCAAUCUUAGAGAUAAGACGUUCCCUUCGGGGACAGAAUGACAGGUGGUGCAUGGUUGUCGUCAGC
rnacentral:rRNA from 1 species